rnacentral:rRNA from 1 species
CGUGUAGGCGGUUUGUUAAGUCUGAUGUGAAAGCCCCGGGCUCAACCUGGGAAGUGCAUUGGAUACUGGCAGACUUGAAUACGGGAGAGGGCAGUGGAAUUCCUGGUGUAGGAGUGAAAUCCGUAGAUAUCAGGAGGAACACCGGUGGCGAAGGCGGCUGCCUGGACCGAUAUUGACGCUGAGACGCGAAAGCGUGGGUAGCAAACA